rnacentral:lncRNA from 1 species
UUUUAAUUUUUUUUAAAUUUUUACUCAAACAAAAUUAUCUUCAUGGAUUUUUGUAUAGUAUUUUUAAACAACAAUCAAUAAUCAGAACAAAUAACAAAAAAUAAUUAAAAAUAUAGAAGAGACAGAGAGAUGGAGGGAGAAAAAAAGUCAAUUACAUAACUUCGAUAGCUGGCGGAAACACCAAAAAUCAAAGUCAUAUUUCUCAUUUAUUCAGCAAGAUAAAUAUGAUCAAUAUUUAUUAUUUUCAGUAACUUAUAUUAAACAAAUUUAGUUUUAUAAUGAAAGCAUAUUAUUUUUAUAUGAUUUUUAAAAAAAGAUUAUAUACUUACCGACGUAGGUACACGCGCAAAGCGCGUAUCCUAAGACUAGUUAAUUUUAAUACUUUAUAGAUUAUAUAUAUAUAUUAAAAUUUUAAAAGAAAUAUAAAAUUAGUAGGAAAAUAUAAAUGUCUAUCAUAAAUAUGCUAACAUGUGUAUUAACUAUACAAAUACUUGAAAAAGUAAAAGACGUAAAGAUAUAUUAUACCGAUAAUUAAAAUAGAACAAACUUAAAGUUAUAAAAGUAAUAUUCUAGUUCCUAAUAAUUCAAAUAGUAAAAAUAAAAAUAAUAUAAAGUUAUUGUUUUAAAACCUAAAACUAGAUAACGAAUCACAAAUACAAGCGUAGAAGCAAAGCAAGAAUUGGAGAACAAAACUCUUUUCUUUGUAGGUGGAGACAAAGGUUUAAUGUGUAUUUGUUAUUUAGUAGUAAAUGACAAAGAGUAAAGAUUAAAAAAUUGGGAUAAACAAUUAGAAAAUACCUUUGGCUUUUGAGAUAUUUAGUUGAAAAUAUACUACUAUGAGUUAACUUUUUGAUGUUUAAGUUAAUUAAAGAAGAUUUAUUAAGAAAUUUGGCUCAAAUUUGGAAAAGUUCCCGGGGCUUAUGCUAAAAAUGAACCUUAUGCCUAUGCGAACGACUGGAAUGUCUGGGCUUACACCACGAUACUUAUGCACUGUCAGUACGCUUCGGUGCUUUUAUUGUACGCCUCGCCCUCGGGCUCGAUCGCCCAUAAAACCUUUAAAAACACUGAUAUAAACAGAAUGAACUAAAUGUUUUGGGGGUAUCCAGAUAAGGAGAUCGAUUGAUAGUGUAACAUAAAUUGGUAAUCUAGCAAAUGAAAAAGAUUAGGAAAAAUGACACUGUAUAGCCGCUGUAAAAAUAAUAGCCGAACAAAAUCUAUAUAAUUUGUAUAUAAAUACAUUAUGUAUGUUAUAUACAAAAAUUAUACAAAUUUUAUACACUUUUUUAGCUAACUGAUGUAAAUAGUUUCUAGCGCGGGAGUGAUAUUACCCCAUGAAAAUAACCUUUAAUGAAUUGCAAUAUUAACCACAAUUUCAAUCGUAAACCAAAAUAAAAAUCAUGUAUAAGAGCUUCGCAUACAAAUGUCACUAAAGUAAUUGAAAGAUAGAAAUACAUAUAAAUGUGUCACGACCCAAUUUUCCCUCCAUGUGACGUUGUGACGGCACCUAGUCUCUACAACUAGGUAAGCCAAAAUCCGAAACAUUGUGAAUCACAAACUACAAAAAAAAAAAUCUAGUGUCUCUAUACAUCCGAGUCUAUCAAAAGAAAAUACAGAAGAUAAUGGACAUGGGAAAGAGUAAAAGGGGACUUCGAGGUUUGCGGACGCGGCAGAUAUACAUUGAAGUCUCCAAAACUGUCCCGGCUCACUGAUAGUGCGGCUGAUAAGGAGUACCUAGUUCUGCACACGAAAAACAUGUGCAGAAGUAGCAUGAGUACACUACAAUCGGUACCCAAUAAGUGCAAAGCCUAAUCUCGGUCGAGUAGUGACGAGAUCAGGUCAGGGCCUUACUGGUAUAUGUAUAUAUAUAAACUAAGACAGGAUGAAAUAUUACAGUAAAAAUAAGUACUAAAAAAAAUGUAACAAGAAUGAAAUCAUAGCAAGUCAACAGCUCAGUACACAGAAAUAACAAUAGGGGAUCUACCGAAAUACUGUUCCGUAGUCCAAAAGUAAAUAUGCAGAGCAGGGGGAUCUACCGGAAUACCGUUCCGUAGUCCCAAAGUAAAUUUACAGAGCAGGGGGAUCUACCGGAAUACCGUUCCAUAGUCACAAAGUAAAUAUGCUGCGCAAACAAUAGAAAUACAAUUAUAUCACAAAAUCUUACGAUUUAGACUAAGUACCAGUCAAGGAAGAAGCAAGAAAUUCACUAAGCAUGCUGCACAGAGUUCACAUAAGCAAUUAAGACACGUAGACAUGCUGUUCUAGACUAAACAGGAUAAAUUCAUAUGCUAGUGUAGCUCAGUUAAAGGAAGAUAUGUAUUUUACUUAAUGGAAACGGAGUUUUGCAACAAUAGCCUGUGUACGCAUUCGUCACCUCACGUACACGGCGCUCAUAUAUCAAAAACAGUACCAAAUCCUAAGGGGGAGUUCCCCCACACAAGGUUAGGCAAGCCACUUACCUCGAACCAAGCUCAAUCAAUCGGUAACAAUGCCUUUUCGACGAAUAUCCGACUUUGAAUGGCCCAAAUCUAGCCCAAAACAAUUGCAUAUCAUAAAUACAACUAUAAUAGGCUCAUCUAAUUAAUAAAAUCAAUACUUUAACAAAAAUUCUAAAAUUCUCCCUAAAAGGUUGACCCGGGCCCACGUCUCGAAAUCGGGUAAAAAUUACAAAAAUCCGAAAGCCCAUUCACUCACGAGUCCAACCAUACCAAAUUUAUCAAAAUCUGACCUCAAAUGACCACUCAAAAUCCCAAAUCAAACUCUUCAAAUCCUUAGUCUCCAACUCUCAAUUUUCGCCUUAAAUACACACUAACUAGGUGGAAAAUUAAAUGGGAAAGCAAGAUUAUUGAUCAAAAAUAAGUACAAGGGACUUACCUCAAGAAACCCCUCAAAAAUGCUCUCAAGAAAUCACCAAACCUGAGCUCAAAAUUUUGAAAAUGAGCAAAAAUCGCGAGCCUUUGCAUUUAAGUGUUUCUAUCCAGAUAUCUCGCACCUGCGGACUCUCUGUCGCAUCUGCAAUGCCGCACCUGUGAAAAUGCCAUCGCAGGUGUGGAUUCCACUUAGAAUCCCAGGUUUUGCUCCUGCGGCUAUGCUACCGUAUCUGCGACUAUCGCAUGUGCGGAAAUGCAUCGCACCUGCGGCUUCCCCUCACACCUGCGCCCAGCUGCCCGCAUCUGCGACUCUCGCAGGUGCGGGAAAAUCUUCGCACCUGCGGUUCCUGCCCUGCUCCUUCUUGGCCUCAUCUUGGGCUCCUCCUUCGCACAUGCGAUCCCGCACCUGCGGUCUCCCCUCCGCAUGUGCGAAUACACCAGAAACCAGAAAAUCUUCAGCAACUAGACUAAGUCCAAAUUCAAUCUGUUAAGCAUCUGAAACACACCCGAGGCCCCCGUGACCUCAACCAAACAUACCAACAAGUCCUAAAAUACCAUUCAAAUUUAGUCGAACCCUCAACCCACAUCAAACAACGCUAAAAUCACAAAUCAUCCUCCGAUUCAAACUUAAAGAACUUGAAACUUCCAAAUUCGACAACCGAUGCCGAAACCAACCAAACCACGUCCGAUUAACAUCAAAUUUUGCACACAAGUCAUAUUCAAUUUUACGGACCUAAUCCAACUUCCAGAAUCAGAAUCCGACCCGAUAUAAAAAAUUCCACUACCGGUCCAAAACUCCAAAAAUUCGAUUUUCCCCAUUUCAAGCUUAAAUGAGCUACAGACCUCCAAAACACAAUCCGAGCACGCUCCUGAGACCAAAAUCACCCAACGAAGCUAACAAAACCGACGAAACUCCAUUCUGGAAUCGUCUUCACACAAUUCCGACUAUGAUCAAAGUCCUAAGAUUUAAGCUCUCAUUUUAGGGACUAAGUGUCCCAAAACACUCUGAAACCAAAAACAAAACCUUCCGACAAGUCACAUAAGAAAAAAAAUGUACGGGGAAAAUAAUAAAUAGGGGAUCGGAGCUAUUAUUCUCAAAACGACCAGCCGGGUCGUUACAUCCUCCCUAUCUUAAAAUAAUCGUUCGUCCUCGAACGAGUAUAGAGACACGCCUGAAGUGGUGAAAAGAUGAGGAUAAUGGCUGCGCACAUCCUGCUCGGUCUCCCAAGUCGCCUCCUCGACCGGCUGACCUCUCCACUUAACCUUCACGGAAGCAAUGUUCUUUGACCUCAGCUUUCUGACCUGCCUAUCUAAAAUAGCCAUUGGCUCCUCAACAUAAGAUAGAUCCUUGUCUAAUUGGACUGAGCUGAAAUUCAACACAUGAGAUGAACAUGAAACAUGAAAUAACGGAUGAACUCCUGCUAGGUUGGGAGGUAAGGCAAUCUCAUAAGCAACCUCUCCAGCACGCCGCAUCACCUCGAAAGGACCAAUGAACCUUGGUGUCACGACCCGAAAUUCCCACUUUCGGACUGUGAUAUUGCCUAACAUUUCACUUGCUAGGAAAACGAACGUUAGAAUAAUAUUAACUAUUUUAAAACAAUUUUUAAAUUUAUUAAGAACAAAGAAAUAAAUGCGGAAGUAAGAUCUAAAAUAUAGUGAAUAAUCAAUAAAAAUAACGGUGUCUAAAUACCAUCCCAGAAUUGGUGUCACAAGUGCAUGAGCUUCUAGAAUAAUACAGAUAAAGGUCUGAAUAAAAUAAAGCUAUCUCGAAACAAACACACAGCUAAAGUAAAGUAGACGGGAACUUCAGAACUGCGGACGCCGUGCAGUUAUACCUCAAGUCUCCUCUGGUAGCUGAAAUCCGAGCAAGUCUAUGGUACGCCGCUGGGACCAACUCCGUAAUCUGCACAAGAUGUGCAGAGUAUAGUAUCAGUACAACCGACCCCAUGUACUGGUAAGUGCUGAGCCUAACCUCGACGAAGUAGUGACGAGGCUAAGGCGGGUCACUUACAUUAACCUGUACGCAAUAUUAGCAACAACAACAAAUAAUAAAAAUAAAUCAGGUAACUCAUUUAUAAAAGUUGAAGCCAACUCAACAAUCAUAACCAAUUAUUAAUUCAACCAAUUUCCGUUGCAGCGUGCAAAUCGCUCCCACAAUGUAUUCAUUUUCAAUCCUCCAAUAUAUUUAGUUUAAUCAAAAAUAUAUAUACAUAUAUAGACUUUUAAAUAAGUCUGUUGCGGCGUGCAAUCCGAUCCUCCAAUAUAGACUUUUAAUAAGUCUGUUGCGGCGUGCAACCCGAUUCUCCAAUAUGGACUUUUAAUAAGUCUGUUGCGGUAUGCAACCCGAUUCUCCAAUAUGGACUUUUAAUAAGUCUGUUGCGGCGUGCAACCUGAUCCUCCAAUAUGUUCAUUUACCAAUUCUUAUAGAAACAAUUGCCCCAAUAGAUGCAACAAUUAAUAUAAAAGUAUAAGACAACAAGCAUACAAUAAUUAUGAUUUAAUUAUGAAACAAACAAUGACAAAUAGCAAUUUAUUAUGGAAAUCAGGGAGAAAAUAGGCAGUUUAAUGUUUAAUAUGCUAAAUGUCUAGUAGAAAUUAAUGCACAUAAUUCAAAUAAGUAUAUAGCAAUUAUUACAGGAAUUCAAGAAUUAAUAUUUGACGAAGAAUAUGAGAGAAAUAAUUAUUACAAUAAUUAAUUCGUGUAUUAAAAUAAAUUUAGGAUUUUCAAAAACUUAUGCAAACAAUUAAUUUGACGACGUAUAGACACUCGUCACCUCGCCUAUACGUCGUUCACAUACAUUUCACAUAACAAAUAAUUUAAGGGUUCUAUUCCCUCAAGUCAAGGUUAACCACGACACUUACCUCGCUUUGCAAAUUCCAAUCAAUUACUCGACCACAACUUUUCCUUUUAAAUUUAUCUCCAAAAGCUUCAAAUUUAUUCACAAACAAUUCGAUAUACUCAAUACGAAUCAUAGGAAUUAAUUUCAUAUGAAUUUAAUAAUUUUCCGGAUAAAAAUCCGAAAUUCAUUUAAAUAUUUGACAGUGGGACCCACGUCUCAAAUCUCGGAAAAACUUACAAAAUCUGAACACCCAUUCCGAGACGAGUCCAACCAUAUAAAAUUUAUCAAAUUCCGAUGACAAACACACUUUCAAAUCUUAAAAUUUUUGUUUUUGGAAGAUUUUAUAAAAAUCUAAUUUUUCUUCCAUAAUUCACGGAUUCAUGAUAUAAAUGAAUAUGGAAUCAUGGAAUAUAAUCAAUAUAGGAUAAGGAAUACUUAACCCAAUUUUUUCCCGUAAAAAUCGCCCAAAAAUGCGCCUUACCGAGCUCAAAAUGACCAAAAUGAGUAAAAAUGACGACUUCCGAAUUUCAGGGCUAUGCCCAAUCUUUUUCGUAUCUGCGGACCAAAUUUCCGCAUCUGCGGACUCGCUUCUGCGAAGAUGAGUCCUCUUUUGUGCAAGGCUUCCCCUUUCCCCUUUCCCGUUUCUACGACGCGUGGGCUGCUUUUGCGGUCGCGCUUUUGCGACAGCCCAUCCGCUUUUGCGGACUGUCCGCUUCUGCGAGGCAUGGCUCGCUUCUACGAGCUCGCAUCUGCGGCCAAGACUUUGCAGAAGCGAAUGCACCAGAAGCAGCAAACUUUCAGAUUUUGUUUAAGUCCAAUUCUUGUUCCGAUUUCAAUUCGAAUCAUACUCGGGGUACUUGGGACUCCGUCCGAAUAUACCAACAAGUCUCAUAACAUAAUACGGACUUACUCGGGGUCUCAUAUCAUGUCAAACAACAUUGAAAUCAAAAUUCACACCUCGAUUCGAACUUUGAGUUUUAGACUUUUCAAUUUGCGAAUCUCGUGCCAAAACAUAUUAAAUGAAUCCGGAAUGACGGACUGUGCACGCAAGUCGAGGAGUGAUAAAUAGUGCUUUUUGAGGUCUUAGAACACAGAAUUAUUAAUUUUAAAGAUGAAAUUUUGGGUCAUCACAUUCUCCACAUGUCCGACUCGGACUCCCAGGUAGAUGCCUCUACCGGCUGACCUCUCCAGUGCACUCAAACUGAAGGAUAACUCUUAGACAUCAACUGUCGGACCUGCCGGGCUAGAAUAACCACCGGCUCCUCCUCAUAAGUCAAAUCUUUGUCCAAUUGGACUGAGCUGAAAUUUUAACACAUGGGACAGCUCACCAUGAUAUUUCCGGAGCAUAGACACAUGGAACACCGGAUGAACCGCUGAUAAACUAGGUGGUAAUGCUAGCAUGUAGGCUACUUCACCUACCCUUUCAAGAAUUUGAAAGGGUCCAAUAUACCUAGGGCUCAACUUGCCCUUCUUUUCGAACCUCAUUACACCUUUCAUAGGUGAAACCCGGAGCAAUAUUCUUUCUCCAACCAUGAAUGCAAUAUCACGAACCUUACGGUCGGUAUAACGCUUUUGCCUAGACUGAGUUGUACGAAGUCGAUCCUGAAUAACUUUGACCUUAUCCAAAGCAUCUUGUACCAAAUCGGUACCCAACAACCGAGCCUCUCCCGCUNNNNNNNNNNNNNNNNNNNNNNNNNNNNNNNNNNNNNNNNNNNNNNNNNNNNNNNNNNNNNNNNNNNNNNNNNNNNNNNNNNNNNNNNNNNNNNNNNNNNNNNNNNNNNNNNNNNNNNNNNNNNNNNNNNNNNNNNNNNNNNNNNNNNNNNNNNNNNNNNNNNNNNNNNNNNNNNNNNNNNNNNNNNNNNNNNNNNNNNNNNNNNNNNNNNNNNNNNNNNNNNNNNNNNNNNNNNNNNNNNNNNNNNNNNNNNNNNNNNNNNNNNNNNNNNNNNNNNNNNNNNNNNNNNNNNNNNNNNNNNNNNNNNNNNNNNNNNNNNNNNNNNNNNNNNNNNNNNNNNNNNNNNNNNNNNNNNNNNNNNNNNNNNNNNNNNNNNNNNNNNNNNNNNNNNNNNNNNNNNNNNNNNNNNNNNNNNNNNNNNNNNNNNNNNNNNNNNNNNNNNNNNNNNNNNNNNNNNNNNNNNNNNNNNNNNNNNNNNNNNNNNNNNNNNNNNNNNNNNNNNNNNNNNNNNNNNNNNNNNNNNNNNNNNNNNNNNNNNNNNNNNNNNNNNNNNNNNNNNNNNNNNNNNNNNNNNNNNNNNNNNNNNNNNNNNNNNNNNNNNNNNNNNNNNNNNNNNNNNNNNNNNNNNNNNNNNNNNNNNNNNNNNNNNNNNNNNNNNNNNNNNNNNNNNNNNNNNNNNNNNNNNNNNNNNNNNNNNNNNNNNNNNNNNNNNNNNNNNNNNNNNNNNNNNNNNNNNNNNNNNNNNNNNNNNNNNNNNNNNNNNNNNNNNNNNNNNNNNNNNNNNNNNNNNNNNNNNNNNNNNNNNNNNNNNNNNNNNNNNNNNNNNNNNNNNNNNNNNNNNNNNNNNNNNNNNNNNNNNNNNNNNNNNNNNNNNNNNNNNNNNNNNNNNNNNNNNNNNNNNNNNNNNNNNNNNNNNNNNNNNNNNNNNNNNNNNNNNNNNNNNNNNNNNNNNNNNNNNNNNNNNNNNNNNNNNNNNNNNNNNNNNNNNNNNNNNNNNNNNNNNNNNNNNNNNNNNNNNNNNNNNNNNNNNNNNNNNNNNNNNNNNNNNNNNNNNNNNNNNNNNNNNNNNNNNNNNNNNNNNNNNNNNNNNNNNNNNNNNNNNNNNNNNNNNNNNNNNNNNNNNNNNNNNNNNNNNNNNNNNNNNNNNNNNNNNNNNNNNNNNNNNNNNNNNNNNNNNNNNNNNNNNNNNNNNNNNNNNNNNNNNNNNNNNNNNNNNNNNNNNNNNNNNNNNNNNNNNNNNNAAGAUUAUCAUCAAUGAAUACAACCAUAAAAAAAAUCCAAAUAAGGCUUGAACACCCGAUUCAUCAAAUCCAUAAAUGUUGUUGGGGCAUUUGUUAGCCCAAAUGACAUCACUAAGAAUUCGUAAUGCCCAUACCGAGUCCGAAAAGCCAUUUUAGGGACAUCAGAUGUCCUAAUCUUCAACUGAUGGUAACCAGACCUCAAAUCGAUCUUCAAAACUACCUUGGCACCCUGAAGCUAAUCAAAUAGGUCAUCAAUUCUUGGCAACGAAUAUUUGUUUUUGAUAGUGGCCUUAUUCAAUUGUCGAUAAUCUAUACACAUCCGCAUAGAACCAUCUUUCUUCUUUACAAAUAAUACUGGUGCACCCCAGGGCGAGAUACUAGGUCUAAUGAAUCCUUGAUCAAGCAAGUCUUGUAACUGCUCCUUCAAUUCUUUUAACUCCGGCGGGGCCAUACGGUAUAGUGGAAUAGAAAUGGGCUGAGUGCCCAGAGCCAAAUUAAUACAGAAGUGAAUAUCUCUAUCGGGUGGCAUCCCCGACAGAUCUGCAGGAAAUACUUCUGGAAAUUCACGAACAACUGGUACUGAGUCCAUAGAAGGAACAUCCGCACUGGGAUCGCGAAUAAGCCAAAUAGGCUAGACACCCUUUCUCUACCAUACACCGAGCUUUCAUAUAAGAAAUAACCCUACUGAAAGAAUGACUAGGAGUUCCUUUCCACUCUAACCGAGGUAAUCCCAGCAUGGCUAGGGUCACUAUCUUGGCAUGAUAAUCCAAUAUAGCAUGAUAAGGGGACAGCCAAUCCAUACCCAAGAUGACAUCAAAAUCUACCAUAUCAAGAAGUAGAAGAUCUACACUAGUCUCUAGAUUACCAAUAGUAACCACACACAAAUGAUAGACAUGAUCUACUACAACAGAGUCUCCCACCGGUGUAGAUACACACACAGAAGCACUCAGAGAAUCACAAGGCACAACCAAAUAUGAAGCAAAAUAGGAGGACACGUAGGAAUAAGUAGAUCCUGGAUCAAAUAGAACUGAAGCAUCUCUAUGGCAAACAGGAAUAAUACCUGUGAUCAAAGCAUCAGAUGACUCGGCCUCAGGCUUAGCUGGAAAAGCAUAAAAUCAGGGUUGGGCCCCACCACUCUGAACUGCGUCUCUGGGACGGCCUCUAACUGGCUGGCCUCCACCUCUAACGGUCUGACCUCCACCUCUAAUGGCCUGACCUCCACCUCUAGCUGCCAGACCCCUACCUCUAACUGGAUGAGCAGGCGGUGAAGCAACUGGUACCGGUAUGAUGGCACGUGAAUCCUGCCGAGAUCUGUUAUUCGCCAAUAUAGGGCAACACCUCAUGAUGUGACAAAUGUUCCCACACUCAUAACACCCAUCCUGAUGCUAUGGCUGCUGAAGCUGAAGCUGACCCAAAUGGGUCGGAUAACCGUUGUAGUAACUCUAGAGUGGCGGUGCACUGAUAGGAGCUGAAUGUUCACUAAAUGUUGGCUGCCCAGAGUAAUGCAUAAUAGGACUGUGACUCCCUGAAGCACCGGGAGAUGCAUGAAGUGCUGAAUGAAAUGGUAUGGGAGGAUGACCCCUACCAAAUUUACCCCUACAUCCACACGAGGCACCAUCGAAACUAACGAACUGACGAGGCCUCUUAUCAGACCUCUGCCCUCUCUCAUGUGCAAGAACUAUCUCGAUCCUCCUCGCAACAUUAGCAGCCGCCUGAAAAGAAAUCUCACUUCCGGUCUCCUUGGCCAUCUGCAGCCUGAUAGGGUGAAUGAGUCCCUCAAUAAAUCUCCUCACUCUCUCUCCCUCAGUAGGUAGUAAAAGGAGAGCAUGACGGGCCAAAUGCACAAAACGGGACUCAUAUUGAGUAACAGUCAUAGUGCCCAGCUGUAGACGCUCAAAUUGCUUUCGGUAAUCCUCCCUCAGUGUGAUAGGAAGGAACUUCUCCAGAAAUAACUGAGAGAACUGCUCCCAGGUAAGUGAAGGCGAUCCAACUGGUCUAGUCAAUGUAUAAUCCCUCCACCACCUCCUGACGGAACCCGUCAUCUAAAAUACAACAAAAUCAACCCCAUUGGUCUCAACUAUACCCAUAUUCCACAGCACCUCAAGGCAGCAUUCUAGAUACUCAUGUGGGUCCUCAGAAGGUGUACCACUAAAGUAAACUGGGAAGCACUUAGUAAACUUAUCCAGUCUCAAUAAGGCCUCAAAAGACAUGGGGGUAGGGCCUAUCACCGGUCUGUGCCGCAACAACUGGCUGAACUACCCCAACUGGCAGGGCUACUAGAGCCUAAUUCUGAGGAUCUAUCUACUAUGGAGCUGGAGUAGUGGGAGUUUGUGCUUCUCCCCCAGCCUGUGAGACGGUUGGCACCACUGGAAAUGCACCAUUUUGGGCCACGUCCUACAUAAGACUCACCAACCAGACUAGAGCGUCCUGAAGCACUGGAGUGGCUAUGAAUCAUUCCGGGACCUGAACUGGUCCAACUGGUACAUUCUGAACUGGAAAUUCCUCCUGAAGGUCCACCUGAGGUCCUACAACAGCUGCAGCUGCUCGAGCUCUGGACUGAGCUCUACUUCGGCCUCUGCCUCAGCCUCUAGCACGACCUUAGCCUCAACCUCUACCCCUGGCCAUAGUUGCCACCGGGGGCUCUGGUCCCUGUCCAUCAGUAGAUGUAUUAUGUGUUCUCACCAUAUGUGAGAGGAUAAAAGUAGAAUGGUUCAAUCACCGAUGAUAGAAUAAAUUCGCACGACAGAAUAAGAAAGAAGUGAUAUUGUUCCUAAACUUCAUUGCCUCUGAGAGAUAAGUACAGACAUCUCCGUACCGAUUCUUCACUCUACUAAGCUUGCUCAUGACUCGUGAGACCUAUGUAAACUAGUGCUCUGAUACCCACUGUCAUGACCUAAAAUUCCCACCUUCGGACCGUGAUGGCUCCUAAAAGCUGUCUGGAAACAAACACACAGCUAAAGUAAAGUAGACGGGAACUUCAGAACUGCGGAUGCCAUGCAGCUAUACCUCAAGUCUCCUCUGGUAGCUGAAAUUCGAGUAAGUCUAUGGAACACCGCUGGGACCAACUCCGUAAUCUGCACAAGACGUGCAGAGUGUAGUAUCAGUAAAACCGACCCCAUGUACUGGUAAGUGCUGAGCCUAACCUCGACGAAGUAGUGACGAGGCUAAGGUGGGUCAAUUUUAUUAACCUUUACGCAAUAUUAGUAACAACAACAAAUAAUAAAAAUAAAUCAGGUAACUCUUUUAUAAUAGUUGAAGCUAACUCAGCAGUCAUAACCAAUUAUUAAUUCAACCAAUUUCCGUUGCAGCGUGCAAACCGCUCCUACAAUAUAUUCAUUUUCAAUCCUCCAAUAUAUUUAUUUUAAUCAAAUAUAUAUAUAUAGACUUUUAAAUAAGUCUGUUGCGGCGUGCAAUCCGAUCCCCCAAUAUAGACUUUUUGUUAAGUCCGUUACGGCGUGCGACCCGAUCCUCCAAUAUGGACUUUUAAUAAGUCUGUUGCGACGUGCAACCCGAUCGUCCAAUAUGGACUUUUAAUAAGUCUAUUACGGCGUGCAACCCGAUCCUCCAAUAUAUUCAUUUACCAAUUCUUAUAGAAGAAAUUGCCCCAAUAGAUGCAACAAUUAAUAUAAAAUUAUAAGACAAUAAACUUACAAUAAUUAUGAUUUAAUUAUGAAACAAACAAUGAGAAAUAGCAAUUUAUUAUGGAAAUCAGGGAGAAAAUAGGUAGUUUAAUAUUUAAUAUGCUAAAUGUCAAGUAGCAAUUAAUACACAUAAUUCAAAUAAGCAUGUAGCAAUUAUUACAGGAAUUCAUGAAUUAAUAUUUGACGAAGAAUUGGAGAGAAAUAAUUAUUACAAUAAUUAAUUCGUGUAUUAAAAUAAAUUUAGGAUUUCCAAAAAAUUAUGCAAACAAUUAAUUUGAUGACGUAUAGACACUCGUCACCUCGCCUAUACGUCGUUCACAUACAUUUCACAUAAUAAAUAAUUUAAGGGUUCCAUUCCCUCAAGUCAAGGUUAACCACAACAUUUACCUCGCUUUGCAAAUUCCAAUCAAUUACUCGACCACAGCUUUUCCUUUUAAAUUUGUCUCCAAAAGCUUCAAAUCUAUUCACAAACAAUUUGAUAUACUCAAUAAGAAUCAUAGAAAUUAAUUCUAUAUGAAUUUAAUAAUUUUUCGGAUAAAAAUCCAAAAUUCAUUUAAAUAUUCGACAGUGGGACCCAUAUCUCAAAUCUCAGAAAAACUUACGAAAUCCAAAUAACCAUUCCGAGACGAGUCCAACCAUAAAAAAUUUAUCAAAUUCCGAUGUCAAACAAACCUUCAAAUCUUAAAUUUUUUCGUUUUUGGAAGAUUUUAUAAAAAUCUGAUUUUUCUUCCAUAAAUUCACGGAUUCAUGAUAUAAAUGAGUAUGGAAUCAUGAAAUAUAAUCAAUAUAGGAUAAGGAACACUUACCCCAAUUUUUUCUCGUGAAAAUCGCCCAAAUAUUCGUCUUAGCGAGCUCAAAAUGACCAAAAUGAGUAAACCUGGCGACUUCCGAAUUUAAGGGCUCUGCCUAGUCUUUUUCGGAUCUGCGGACCAAAUUUCCGCAUCUGCGGACUCGCUUCUGCGAAGAGGAGUCCGCUUCUGCGCAAGGCUGCCCCUUCCCCCUUUCCCGCUUCUGCGACGCGUGGACCGCUUCUGCGGUCGCUCUUCUGCGACAGCCCAUCCGCUUUUGCGGACUGUCCGCUUCUGCAGCCAAGACUUCGCAGAAGCGAAGGCACCAGAAGGAGCAAACUUUCAAAUUUUUCUUAAGUCCAAUUCUUGUUCCGAUUUCGAUUCGAAUCACACCCGGGGUACUUAGGACCCCGUCCGAAUAUACCAACAAGUCCCAUAACAUAAUACGGACUUACUCGGGGUCUCAUAUCACGUCAAACAAUGUUGAAAUUAUAAUUCACACCUCGAUUCGAACUUUGAGUUUUAGAUUUUUCAAUUUGCGAAUCUCAUGCCAAAAUAUAUUAAAUGAAUCCGGAAUGAUUUCAAAUUUGGCAUCAAGUCCUAAAUGACAUAAUAGAGAUAUUCAAAUCUCCAUAAUCGGGUUCCGGCUCCGAUUCAAAAAGUCAACCUCGUGGUCAAACUUGGAAAUUUUUAGCCUUUAAAUUACUAGUUUCCUUUAAAUGGUCAUAACUUGAGCUAGGGACCUCCAAAUUAAAUUUCGGGCAUACGCCCAAGUCCCAAAUCACAAUACGGACCUACCGGAACUGUCAAAACACUAAUCCGGGCCUGUUUUCUCAAAAUGUUGACCAAAGUCAACUCAAUUAAGUUUUAAGGCUCUACUUCAUAUUUUAAUCCAUUUUUCACAUAAAAACUUUUCGAAAAAUUAUACGGAUUGUGCACGUAAGUCGAGGAAUUGUAAAUAGUGCUUCUCUAGGUCUUAGAACACAAAAUUAAUUAUUAAAUUUAAAGAUGAUAUUUUGGGUCAUCACACUUGGGCUCAACUUGCCCUUCUUUUCGAACCUCAUAACGCCCUUCAUAGGCGAAACCCAAAGCAAGAACCGCUCUCUAACCAUGAAUGCAACAUCACGAACCUUCCGGUCCGCAUAACUCUUCUGUCUGUACUGGGUUGUAUGAAGUCUAUCUUGAAUUACCUUAACCUUUUCCAAGGCAUCCUGAACCAAGUCCGUACCCAAUAACCUGGCCUCGCCCGACUCGAACCAACCCAUUGGGGACCGACACCGCCUACCAUACAGAGCCUCAUACGGUGCCAUCUGAAUGUUGGACUGAUAAUUGUUGUUGUAAGCAAACUCCGCAAGUGGCAAGAACUGAUCCCAAACACCCCCAAAAUCUAUCACACAAGCGCGGAGCAUUUCCUCUAAUAUCUGGAUUGUGCGCUCGGAAUGUCCGUCCGUCUACGGGUGAAAUGUUGUGCUCAACCCAACCCGAGUACCCAUCUCUUGCUGUACAGCCCUCCAGAACCGUGGUGUAAACUACGUACCCCGGUCAGAGAUGAUAGAUAUCGGUACGCCAUGAAGCCUGAUAAUCUCGCGGAUAUAAAUUCGAGUCAACUGCUCGGAAGAAUAGGUAGUCAUCACAUGAAUGAAAUGAGCUCACUUUGUCAGUCUAUCCACAAUCACCCAAAUUGCAUCAAACCUUCGCUGAGUCCGUGGGAGUCAAAAAACGAAAUCUAUAGUGAUCCACUCCUAACUCCACCCCGGAAUCUCUAACUUUUGAAGCAACCACCUGGCCGCUGAUGCUCAUACUUUACCUGCUGGCAAUUCAGAAAUCGUGCCACAUACUCUACUAUGUCCUUCUUCAUCCUCUUCCACCAUUAAUGUUGUCUCAAGUCUUGAUACAUCUUUGCGGCACCCGUAUGAAUAGAGUACCGCGAGCUAUGAGAUUCCUGAAGAAUCAACUCACGCAAACCAUCUACAUUAGGCACACAUAGCAUGCCCUGCAUCCUCAAUGCACCAUUAUCUCCAAUAGUGACCUCCUUAGUAUCACUGUGCUGGAUCGCGUCCUUAAUGACAAGCAGAUGGGGGUCAUCAUACUGGCGCUCCCUGAUACGAUCAUAAAGAGAAGACCAAGAGACCACACAAGCCAAUACUCAUCUCGGCUAAAAAAUAUCCAAUCUCAUAAACUGGCUGGCUAAGGCCUGAACAUCCAACGCCAGUGGCCUCUCUAUUGCUGGUAGAUAUGAUAAACUCCCCAAACUCUCUGCCCGGCGACUCAAAGAAUUGGCCACCAUAUUGACCUUCCCAAGGUGGUACAAAAUGGUGAUAUCAUAAAACAUAAGCAGCUCCAACCACCUCUUCUGACGCAAAUUAAGAUCCUUCUGCUUGAAUAGAUGCUGCAAACUCCGGUGAUCGGUGUAAAUCUCAUAAGGAACGCCGUACAAAUAAUGCCGCCAAAUCUUCAAGGCAUGAACAAUAGCUGCUAACUCAAGGUCAUGGACAAGAUAAUUCUUUUCAUGCACCUUCAGCUAUCUGGACGCGUAGGCAAUCACCCAACCAUCCUGCAUCAAAACCGCGCAAAGACCAGUCCGCGAUGCAUCACAAUAUACCGUAUAAGACCCCGAACCUAUAGGCAGUACCAAUACUAGGGAUGUAGUCAAAGCUUUCUUGAGCUUCUGAAAGCUCUCCUCACAUUCCUCUGUCCACCUGAACAGAGCACCCUUCUGGGUCAGCCUGGUCAUGGGAGUUGCAAUAAAUGAGAAACUCUCUACAAAUCGACGGUAAUACCCCGCCAAACCAAGAAAACUCCGGAUCUCUGUAGCUGAGGACGGUUUGGUCCAACUCUGCAUUGCUUCAAUCUUCUUCGGAUCCACCUGGAUUCCCUCACUCGAUACUAUAUGACCUAAGAAUGCCACUGAGUCUAGCCAAAACUCACACUUUGUAAAUUUUGCAUAUAACUUCUUUUCUCUCAAGGUCUGAAGCGCAGUCCUCAGGUGCUGCUCAUGAUCCUCUCGAGUACACCAGAAUGUCGUCAAAACACACAAUGACGAAUGAGUCAAGAUAAGACCGAAACACACUGUGCAUUAAGUGCAUAAACGUUGCUGGGGCAUUGGUCAGCCCAAAAGACAUAACAAGAAACACAUAGUGACCAUAUCUGGUCCUAAAAGCAGUCUUCAGGAUAUCUGGCUCCCGAAUCUUCAACUGAUGAUAACCUGAACACAAGUCAAUCUUGGAAAACACUCUGGCACCCUGUAACUGAUCAAAUAAGUCAUCAGUACGAGGCAAUGGAUACUUGUUCUUCACUGUGACUUUGUUCAACUGGCGGUAAUCAAUACACAUCCGCAUAGAACCAUCCUUCUUCUUCACAAAUAAGACAGGAGCACCCCAAGGUGACACACUAGGCCGAAUGAAGCCCUUAUCAAGUAAUUCUUGUAACUGCUCCUUCAAUUCAGGAGGAGCCAUACGAUAUGGAGGAAUAGAGAUGAGAUUAGUGCCUGGCAACAAAUCAACGCCAAAAUCAAUAUCUCUAUCGGGUGGCAUGCCCGAAAGAUCAGCUGGAAACACAUCUGGAAAAUCCCUCACUACUGGAACUGACUCAACUGUAGGGGUAUCAAUACUGAUGUCUCUCACAUAAGCUAGAUACGUGUCAUACCCCUUCUCAACCAUUCGUUGAGCUUUAAGAAAUGAAAUAACUCUGCUGGGAGUAUACUCUAAGGUACCUCUCCACUCUAAUCACAGAAAUCCUAGCAUAGCCAGCAUAAUGGUCUUAGCGUGACAAUCAAGAAUAACAUAAUGGGGUGACAACCAGUCUAUGCCAAAAAUAAUAUCAAAGUCCACCAUGCUGAGCAAUAAUAAAUCGGCUCUGGUCUCAAAACCACUAAGAACAAUCAAACACGACCGAUACACGCGGUCCACAAUAAGAGAAUCUCCCACAUGAGUAGACACAUAAAUAGGGGAACUUAAAUAAUCUCGAGAUAUGCCCAAAUACGGGGAAAAAUAAGUGGACACGUAAGAGUAUGUAGAGACUGGGUCAAAUAAUAUUGACGCAUCACUAUGAUAGAACGGAACAAUACCUGUAACGACAAAAUCAAAAGCAAUUGCCUCUGUAUAAGCAAGAAGGGCAUAAUAUUUGGCAUGGCCUCCCCUUCUAAGGCGACCUCUACCUCCCCGGCCUCCAUCUCGAGCUGGAUGAGCAGGUGGGGCGGUAGCUGGUGCUGGAAUCAUAGCCUGAGGACCCGGUAGAGCACGUUGUGGAUGAGAAGUCUGUAGAGGUGCACCCCUCCUAAGUCUAGGGCAAAUCCUCACCACAUGGCGAGUGCCACCACACUUAAAACAACCUCCCUACUGACGUAGUUGUGGGAAUUGUGCAGUACGGGCACCUUGAGACCCAUGAAUACCUGAAACAUCGUGUGAAGCCUAAAAUGCAAACUAAAUUGGCUGACCCACAAAACCUCUACCAUGUCGUACCCUGCCUCCAAAAUAAGGACCAGUGGAUCUUUCCAGUCCUGCUGAAAUGCGACCACAGGUUGUGUCGCCAUGACAUCUGGAACCUGACUAACGUGAACUCACUGCUCUAGAGUGUGGGCGGUGGGAGUCUAGGUCCCUCCCCCUAUCUGUGAAGUAGCUGGUACAACCUGAAUCAACCCCGCCAUAACCAAUGCACCAAACAUGCUCAGGAACUGUGCUAAGGUCUCCUGAAGUCCGGAGGUAACAGCAGGCGCCUCUGGUACCUGUCCCCAACUAGAGCUACUGGCGGCCCCUCUACUGCUGCUCUGGUAGGUGCUCUAGCUGUGGUGCGCACUACUCGUUGGCCUCUGUCUCAGCCUCUAGUGACACCUGCUCCGGGAGUAACGUCAUCGAUAACUACAGUUUGUUUCCUCACCAUCUGUGAGAGAAUAGAAUACAGAAGUUUAGAAUUUUUUAAGUCAACAAUUUUUGCACGACAAGAAAUCAAAGUAGUGAAAUUUUCUUAUCAGUUCCAUAGCCUCUCGAAGAUAAGUACAGAUGUCUCCGUACCGAUCCGUGAGACUCUACUGAACCGGUUUGUGACUCACGACACCUAUGAACCUAGAGCUCUAUUACCAACUUGUCACGACCCAAUUUCCCCUCCGUGUGACGUCGUCACAGCACCUAGUCUUUACAACUACGUAAGCCUAAUAUUUUGCGGAAUAAUAAAAUGAAAAUAUAAAUUUAACCAACUAUUAAAAAAUACACAAUAAUCCCAAAACCCGGAACAUCGUGAAUCACAAACUACAGAAAGAAAAUUUAGUGUCUCUAUACAUUCGAGUCUAUCAAAAGAAAAUACAGAAGAUAAUGGACAUGGGGAAGAGUAGAAGGGUACUUCGAGGUCUGCGGACGCGGCAGAUAUACCUUGAAGUCUCCAAAGUUAUCCCGGCUCACUGAUAGUGCGACUGAUAAGGAGUACCUGAAUCUGCACACGAAAAACAUGGGCAAAAGUAGCAUGAGUACACCACAAUCGGUACCCAGUAAGUGCCAAGCCCAACCUCGGUCGAGUAGUGACGAGAUCAGGCCAGGGCCCUACUGGUAUAUAUAUAUAUAUAUAUAUAUAUAUAUAUAUAUAUAAUNNNNNNNNNNNNNNNNNNNNNNNNNNNNNNNNNNNNNNNNNNNNNNNNNNNNNNNNNNNNNNNNNNNNNNNNNNNNNNNNNNNNNNNNNNNNNNNNNNNNNNNNNNNNNNNNNNNNNNNNNNNNNNNNNNNNNNNNNNNNNNNNNNNNNNNNNNNNNNNNNNNNNNNNNNNNNNNNNNNNNNNNNNNNNNNNNNNNNNNNNNNNNNNNNNNNNNNNNNNNNNNNNNNNNNNNNNNNNNNNNNNNNNNNNNNNNNNNNNNNNNNNNNNNNNNNNNNNNNNNNNNNNNNNNNNNNNNNNNNNNNNNNNNNNNNNNNNNNNNNNNNNNNNNNNNNNNNNNNNNNNNNNNNNNNNNNNNNNNNNNNNNNNNNNNNNNNNNNNNNNNNNNNNNNNNNNNNNNNNNNNNNNNNNNNNNNNCGUAGUAUAUAUAUAUAUAUAUAUAUAUAUAUAUAUAUAUAUAAACUAAGACAAAAUGAAAUAUUGCAGUAAAAAUAAGUACUAAAAAAACAAUGUAACAAGAAUGAAAUCAUAGCAAGUCAACAGCUCAGUACACAAAAAUAACAAUAGGGGAUCUACCGGAAUACUGUUUCGUAGUACAAAAGUAAAUAUGCAGAGCAGGGGGAUCUACCGAAAUACCGUUCGUAAAUAUAGCAGAGUAGGGGGAUCUACCGGAAUACCGUUCCGUAGUCCCAAAGUAAAUAUGCACAGCAGAGGAAACUACCGAAAUACCGUUCCGUAGUCCCAAAGUAAAUAUGCAGAGCAGGGGGAUCUACCGGAAUACCGUUUCGUAGUUCCAAAGUAAAUAUGCAGAGCAAGGGGAUUUACCAGAAUACUAUUUCGUAGACCCUAAGUAAAUAUACAGUGCAAAUAAUAGAAAAAUAACUAUAUCACAAAAUCUUACGAAUUAGACUAAGUCCUAGUCAAGGAAGAAGCAGGAAAUUCACUAAGCAUGUUGCACAGAGUUCACAUAAGCAAUUAAGACACGUAGACAUGUUGUUUAGACUAAACAAGAUAAAUUCAUAUGCUAGUGUAGUUCAGUUAAAGGAAGACAGGUAUUUUACUUAAUGAAAACGGAGUUUUGCAACAAUAGCUCGUGUACGCACUCGUCACCUCACGUACACGGCGCUCAUAUAUCAAAAACAGUACCAAAUCCUAAGGGGGAGUUCCCACAUGCAAGGUUAGGUAAGCCACUUACCUCAAACCAAGCUCAAUCAAUCGGUAACAUUGCCUUUUCCACGAAUAUCCGACUUCGAAUGGCCCAAAUCUAGCCAAAAAUAAUUGCAUAUCAUAAAUACAACUAUAAUAGGCUCAUCUAAUUAAUGAAAUCAAUACUUUAACAAAAAUUCCGAAAUUCGCCCUAAAAGGUCGACCCGAGCCCACGUCUCGGAAUCGGACAAAUAUCACAAAAAUACGAAAGCCCAUUCACUCACGAGUCCAACCAUGCCAAAUAUAUCAAAAUCCGACCUCAAAUGACUACUCAAAACCCCAAAUCAAACUCUUCAAAUCCCUAGCCUCCAACUCCCAAUUUUCACCUUAAAUACACACUAACUAGGUGGGAAAAUAAAUAGGGAAGCAAGAUUAUUGAUCAAAAAUAAGCACAAGGGACUUACCUCAAGAAACCCCUCAAAAAUUAUCUCAAGAAAUCGCCAAACCCGAGCUCAAAAUGUUCAAAAUGAGCAAAAAUCGUGAACCUUUGCAUUUAAGUGUUCUGUCUAGAAGUCUCGCACCUGCGGACUCUCUCUCGCAUCUGCAAUGCCGCACCUGCAGAAAUUCCAUCGCAGGUGCGAAUUCCACUUAGAAUCUCAGGUUUCGCUCAUGCGGCUAUGCGACCACAUCUGCGACUAUCGCAGGUGCGGAAAUGCAUCGCACCUGCGGCUUCCCCUCGCACUUGCGCCCAAUUGCCCGCAUCUGCGACUCUCGCAGGUGCGGGAAAAUCUUCGCACCUGCGGUUUCUGCCAAGCUCCUUCUUGGCCGCAUCUGCGGCUCCUCCUUCGCACAUGCAAUCCCGCACCCGCAAGUGCGAAAACACCAGAAACCAAAAAAUCUUCAGCAACUAGCCUAAGUCCAAAUUCAAUCCGUUAAGCAUGCGAAACACACCCGGGACCUCAACCAAACAUACCAACAAGUCCUAACACACCAUACAAAUUUAGUCUAGCCCUUAAAUCACAUCGAACAACGCUAAAAUCACAAAUCAUCCUCCGAUUCAAACUUAAAGAACUUGAAACUUCCAAAUUCGACAACCGAUGCCGAAACCAACCAAACCACGUCAGGUUGACACCAAAUUUUGCACACAAGUCAUAUUCAACAUUAUGGACCUACUCUAACUUCCAGAAUCGGAAUCUGACCCCGAUAUCAAAAAUUCCACUACCGGCCCAAAACUCCAAAAAUUUGACUAUUGCCAUUUCAAGCCUAAAUGAGCUACAGACCUCCAAAACAUAAUCUGGGCACGCCUAUAAGCCCAAAAUCACCCAACGGAGCUAACAAAACCGACGAAAAUCCAUUCUGUAGUCGUCUUCAUAUAGUUCUGACUACGGUCAAAGUCCUAAGACUUAAGCUCUCGUUUUAGGGACUAAGUGUCCCAAAACACUUUGAAACCAAAAACAAAACCUUCCGACAAGUCACAUAAGCAGAAAAGGGUACGGGGGAAACAGUAAAUAGGGGAUUGGGAAAAUUAUUAUCAAAACAACCGGCCGGGUCGUUAUAAAAUGAUACGACACGUCUAAAACUGAAGCAAAUCAAGAAGUUCUUUUUUAAUUAAUUUGAUAAAUCAGAAUCCAACGACCUAAGCCAAAAGAAAAACGCCAACACAAUCCACAUUUCACACCGUGUCCAAAUACAAACUUCACUUAAUUCAUAUAAAUUUCGAGGUUCGAACAAAAGUCCACUAACCGAGCUGAACUGGUUAGCGGUGAAAGUAAUCGAGAACUUUACAUAAUUGUAAUAAUUUAAAAGAAAUAUAACAACUUCGUAGCAUGAAAUCCAAUAUUACAGUUGUGGCAGAAAAAUAUUUAUAAAUGUAGCACACAAUUCUAUUAAAAUAUAAAUAUUAAUUAUUAAUCUCUAAACAUAAGCAAUUUGAAUGAAAAGUUAAUAAUUCUUUGUACAAAAAUUAUGCUUCUUGUUUCUCUUUAUCUAUUAGCUUUCCUUCUUUUUCUUCAUCUUCUUAAUUUUUUUUCUGCCAAAGCCACUAUAUUUUCUAAAUUUGUUCCAUUCAUUUUCUUUUUAAUUAUCUUUCUUAAGUUUUUCUCUUCCUUCUUUCUUCCUUUCUUAACAUAAAGAUCUUACUUUGAUAAUAAUAUACGUUAAUAUAUAUAAAACGUAUAUAAAAAAUAUAUAUAUUAAAUUAACACAUAUAAAAUAUACAAAUAUACAUCUUCAAUUAAGAUGACACUUCGACAUGUGAAAUAUACAUAAAAAAUAUAUCUUAAAAUAAGAUGGCACUUCACAAAUAAAUAUACAAAAUNNNNNNNNNNNNNNNNNNNNNNNNNGAUUUAGGUGCAUUCACAUAUGCAUCAGAUUUUUAAAAAAAUGGAGUGAAAAAGAUGAAUAUUGGGCUUAAUUUUUGUAAUAUACUAAUAAUAAAAAAAGAAAGUGCUCUUUAUGGAAUAAACAAUAAAUGAUGCUAUUUUUUUAAAAAUAAUAGUUAAAAAGGGAUAAGUGUGUAAAAAACUCAAAGUAAUUCCCACGAACUGAGAACAGUUAACCAUAAGGUAAAUUAGUAUCUGCCACCUGAGCCACUAUCACCACCUUCGACCAAUCUUCCACCAAAUCCACUACCACCACUUCCUAUAUGGUCAUUACUUCCACCAAUACCAGUUCCCCCCCCCCCCACCCCCCAAACCUCCACUGCCACUGCCACCUCCACCGCCUGCACCGCCGAGCAACCGCCUUCCUAAAUGGUCAUUGUAUGGGGGUAAAAUAUGACAUAUUAAAUGAUUGCAUGAGAAAGUGACACGUGGAGUCAAACAUAGAGGAUCGCUGAAACCGAAGGCAAUAAUUUCAUCUGUUACCUGAGAGAAUGAUACUCAUAAAGAUAAAAUAAAUGUCUGCCACUCAGUUCAUCUAAUGAAGAAUAUUCAAUAGCAUUUAUUACACUGCCCGUUAUAAAAGAAUAUAGCAUUCAUGCCCGCCGUUACAUACUCUUCAAUGGCGACAUUAAAGAGGGACUUGAUCCUAGGUCCUUGUUCCCUAGGUACAACUAUAAAUAGUGAGCCCUACUAUCAUUGUAAGGGACACGAAUUUUCUGGCAAACUUACGGUACACUCUAUUCAAAGUUUAAUAUAAUCUUAUCUUCUUGCUUUUUGAUUUUAUUGUUCUUGUACCCGUAAGCCCUGCUCCCGGAACUAUUAUUUUUGCUAUUUUGUCUCCAUCUCAAGGCUAAGUAUUUCAUAUUUAUAUAAUUCAUCUUUUAUUCCAGGAUCAAAUUAAUUCACUUAUCUAAAAACUAUGUAUAAAUUCAACUGUACCGUUUUACAGGUAAACACUUUGGUGCCCACCGUGGGGCCUAGACAGUCGUGUAAUUAACUUGGUCCUUACCUCUUUUACUAACGUGUUUCGAUUAUUUGUUCUUAGCAAAAAAUCAUAGAAAAUGGCAGAUAAUGUUGUUAACAAUACACACAAUCUUGAGGCCUAGGAAAACCAGCGUCAUCACGAGAAUUCAAUCAGCGAUACCCGCAGCGAGGGGAACGAGGCCACACCGGUCCAUGGUAGGCGGUACCCACGACAUGUUCGGGAGACGACUCCUGAUGAUGCUGAAGAGAAGCAUGUCGUUGAAGCGGUAAGGGUCCUGCAGGAGAAAUAAGAGGCCAUUUUCGGCCAUCUCACACGGCAGGAUAAGGUUAUGACAGAACUAAAGCAGGCGUCAUCAGGUGCUUCCAAUAACGCAAAUGGACGAGGUCCAGUUCCUCCCGGUACUCCCACAAAUCAAAUAACACAGAGGGUCGACAACAACACCUCGAGGGGCAAUGUCGGCUUCGAUGGGGCAGGAGGAGCGGAUUCGGUCACAACAACGAGAGUGAUCCUUUCAAAAGCGAACUCAUACGGUUUAAGAAGGAAGUGAACUCCCGCAUGGACCAAAUCCCGGGUGCACCACCGGUGUUGAAGAGACCGAACUCAAAGAAGCACACUCAAUUGUCGUACAAACCGAGCGCGACACCAGAAUUGAUCCCGAAACGAUUUAAAAUGCCCGAUGUGACGAAGUAUGAUGGGACUUCAAACCCUCAGUAGCAUAUUACCACCUAUACGAUGACGGUGAAGGGGAACGAUUUAGCUCCCCAUGAGAUCGAAUCAGUUUUACUAAAGAAAUUCGGAGACACUCUCAUGAGGGGAACCUUGACGUGGUAUUUGCUGUUGCCUGAGCAUUCCAUAGAUUCUUUUGAGAUGCUCGUAGAUUCUUUCAUUAAGGCUCAUGCCGGGGUCAGAAAAGUGCAGGCCCGAAAGGCCGAUAUUUUCAUAAUUGCACAAGGAGAGUCCGAGUUACUGCGGGAAUUCGUGACCCGGUUCCAGAAGGAAAGGAUGUUGCUCCCGGCUUUUCCAAAUGAAUGUGCGGUUGAAGUAUUCACCAAGGGUUUGAAUCCGAGAAGUUCUAAUACUUCCCAGAAGUUGAAGGAAAGCUUGCUCGAUCUAAGCAACAACUUGGGCAGAUGCUCACAGUCGGUACGAGUCAAAGAUAAGAAUUGAGGAUGAUCAGAUCGGCGUUCCGGCGUCGGCUAAAGGUCGGGAGAAGACUAAAGAGAAAUCAAAAGACUAUUUCGACACAAAUAGACGGUCUUCGAGGAGACGGUUUUUGCCUUAUGUACGGUCCGAUGGACGCGGUAGAGGUUUUCGGUGCAGACAGGUUCAUUAUCGAUAGAAGAACUUAUCGCGGCCGGAAUAAUAGAUCAUUACAGGACAAGGAAAUAUCAGGUUCUUGAGACUAUCAGAAUACAACUUCAACGUCAGUGUAGUAUAGUUGGUAUCGACUAUGAGGAACAUUAAAGAAGCACGGUUCCCGGCAUCUGCGUGAAGAUGUGGCGAAACUACUAAAAAUAGCCAUUUCAUGGAAUUCUUAAGCGACAUGGCCAAAAACAAUUACGGUCGCAACCGUGAUAACACGGAGCCCACAAAAGUAGGAGAAGAUCUCUCGCGCUAGACGAUCAACAUACUCUGUUCCAAAUUUCUUCUGGCGAUAAUACUAAUAAUGGCUCCUCAUAAUCAGUUUGGUUCUUCAUAAAUGCACUAGUAUUUCUCCUAAACUCGUGAUCCCUAGGCAAGAAUCGAUAGUGGCAGUCAAACCAUGUGUUCUUUCCUCCAUGUUUUAACGUGAAUGCUUUUGUGUCUUUCAUACAAGUUGGGCAAGCUAACUUGCCCGCAGUCUACCACCCGGAUAACAUUCCGUAAGCAGAAAAAUUAUUUAUAGUCCACAUCAAAGCAACACGCAAUUUGAAGUUUUGUUUAGUUGAUAUAUCAUAUGUUUCUACACCUUCAUGCCACAAUAACUUUAACUCAUCAAUUAAAGAUUGCAUGUAUAUAUCAAUCAAACUUUUCGGAUUGUGUGGACCUCGAACAAUGCAAGUUAGGAAUAAAUAUGGACUUGUCAUAUACAACUCAGGAGGAAGAUUAUACGGUGUAACAAACACUAGCCAGCAUGAAUAUGGUACAAUAGAGACAGAAAAUGGAGUGAAUCUAUCUGCACAUAAACUCAACAUAAUAUUUUUUGGUUCAUUAGCAAAAUCCGAAAACACCCUAUUAAAAUGCUUUCAUGCUUAUCCAUCUGACGGAUGACAUAGAAUACCAGGUGGCCUUCUAUUUUUAUAGUGUCAUCUCAUAUGAGGAUCAGAGCUCAUUGAUGCAUACAACCUCUUUAACCUAGGUAUGAGGGGUAAGUAAUGCAUCGCCUUAACUGGAACCUUCUUCUUUUUUGAAUUUAUGACUUCCUUGUAACGAUGUUGGUUAUAAAAUUUUACAAUUUUCUAAAGCUGCAUCAUCCUUAUAGCAUAACAUGCAACCUUUCUCACAACAGUCAAUCCUCUAUGAUGAAAGUCCUAACUUAGAAACCAAUUUCUUUGUUGUAUAGAAAUCAUUGGGUAGGUCAAUUUUAUUCGGAUUAAAUUCAUUCAUAAGGCCAAUUAUAGAGUCCAUGCCCGCUUGAGAAAUACUCGAAUACAAUUUAAUACUUAAUAAUCUAACCACAGCAGACGACUUAAAAUGCAUUGAGCCUUCAUAUAAUGGUUGACUUGCUUCUUGUAAAUAUUCAUAGAAGCGCUUAGCAUCAUUAUUUGGUUCAGACUGAGCCCCGGGGUGCAUUACAAAAGCAUCCCUAACUAUUUUAUUGAAUCGAGAAUUUUCAGCAUUAUUCUGUACUAAUGGACUACCCUCACGACCAAAGAAAUUUUGAAAAUCGACAUCACCAACACUAGCAACAUCUUCUAUAUGAAAAGUCCACACGUAAUAAUUUUCCAUAAACUCUUUUUUAUAAAGAUGAAUUUUAACAACAUCUGGUUGCAAUAACUUUCCGCAUUUGCAUUUCACACAAGGGCACCUAAUCACCCCUUCACUGAGAAAUUCAUGAAGUGUUUUCGCUUUAGCCAUAAAUUCAGCAAUCCCUUUUAUAAAUUCCUCCCUCAACCCACUACGAUUAGGAUACAUUCGAUUAUACAUCCAUCUACGAUGUGCAAGCUCCAUCUACACAAAAUAAAUCCAAGAUAUUUAAAACAAUAUUACUUAGUAUUAUGCCAAAAAAUAUUUACUAUAAUAAACCUAUAAAGUAAAACCUUUAUAUGAGUUCAACUCCAAGAAUAUCACUUCUUGAAAGACGGAAAGCUUUUCAUUACUACACUGGAAUACUUCUUUUAGAAUAACUUGACACCUUUUUGUAAGUAACUAUAUUUUUCAUUCCAACUUUAUUAAAUAUAUUUAAAGUAAUUUGGACAAAAAUAUUUAAACUAUAUCCAUGAAUACUAUAACCAAAAUAAUUAUCUGAUAAAGUUUCUCAAAGAUAUUUUCCUAAAUAUGUGGAUAGUGCAUGUAGAUACAACUAGCUUCUCCUCCAAAAAGUUUUAACUUAAAAAAGAAAAUUAUUAUGGCUUUUUGUAUACUAACGACUCAUGAACAAUGUAUGGGUAUCAAUGCUAAGGCUGUUCUUCUUGAUUGUUUGAAACAGAUUUCAAGACUAUGUCCAAAGGUGGGUUGGGUUGAAUGGAAAUUAGAAUCCUUUAGUUAGUCCAAUAUAAUCAAAAAUAUCCUAAUAAAUGAGCCCUAGCUCCUAAAAAACUAUUAACAACAACAAUGACAAUAACAACAACAACAAUUAUGAUUAUAAUAUAGCGUUAUGGAAGACAGUCCAAUGCAGCUUCAGACAAUUUUCGUUUAACUGUAACGCCCCAAUAGUGGUAACACAACCUUUUCGAAAAAGCACGAGUUCAUUUUUACUUAGACAAAGAGCCUAGUAAAACUUUAGUUAGCUAGCUUAAAUAGUGAAUUAAGAUGCGCUCCAGGAAACUUCAAUGAACAUAACUCAUGCCAAAAGAGUGGAAAUCAAAUUUUCAGCAGUAAAACAAUUAAGUUCUAACACUAUUGCUCAACCUUAUUACACUAGUUGGCUAUAACAUGAUUAAGUUUAGGGAUUAGUUAUGAGUAUAGAUAGAUAAGUAAAAAUAUAUGAUUGAUCUUCAACACGAACUCCUUUAAAUUAGUCAUGAUGUUGGACUACAUAUUUCUUUGAGGAACAAUAUGCAAUAAUCUCUUUAAUGAAUAUGUAAGAUAGUAGUUGAAAAGUUCAAGUUGUUUUUAAUGUCUCAUCUUGACUAUGUGAGAGCUUUAGUUAGAUAUUACACUUAUGGGGGUUAGUUGCAUUCUCUGUUAAGAUGAACCUGACUUAAUAGCAGUUAAAUAUGUUAGAAUUGAAUUGCUAAACUUCUGUCAAAUAUGUUAGGAUUUAUGGGGAUAUAUUUUUUUUCAACGUUAUCUGUCAACUAUGAAUGUGUAUGCGUGCAUAUAUAAUCGAAGAGUUAUUUUUUCAUCUAAUUAAGAGUUACACGCCCAACUGUUAAACGAAAAAAACUUAUUAAUUAUAAGUGUGUCAAUAUUAGUUGUAUGUGGCUAAGCAUGUUACUAUUCGAAUUUUAUUCAUUUCUUAUCAUUGAUAACUGUUUACCUUUACAAGAAAGUUAACUUAAGAUAUCAUAAAAGUCUUGAAUGGCUAAAGCUACUCAUGCAAGAUUCUAUGUAGAUGCAAAAGGGAGUGAAAAUAUCCCAGAAACCAGAAAAUUAAACCUGAAAAUUCUGCGACUUUCAAAGAAGAAAGAAACCAAUAAUUGACUUCAAAACUUUUUGUUAUUUAGUUUAAUUUCGAAUAAUGCAGCUUCAGUUGAAUUUCCAAUCCAUCAUAAAUUAUCUAAAAUUUACAACAAUAAAAGAGAUGGUCAUUUGAUCUAUCCAAUUCUUCAAACCCAAGCAAAUAUUUCUCACCUUUCCCAAUUCCAAAAUCUUCUUUUUCACUUCCCCCACCAAAAUCCCAAUAAAAUACUUCUAAAUCUGUAAAUCCUCUAAAGAAAUUUGAAACAUUACCGAUGACUAAACCCACAAAGUUUCUAGGUAAUAAGAAUGAGAGAAACUAACAGAGAAGAGGAAAUUUCACAAAUUUGCGCAUUGAUACCUAGCGACGUCGACCACUCUUUGCCACCGUCAAUCGAUAGGUGGAGUGGAAGAAACAUUGGAGACGAAAAAUCUAGAGACAGAGAGAGAGAGAGAAAAAGAGAGAAUCGAUAGAAUGAGUCUUUUUCUUGUUUUAAAUUUGGGGAAAUAAGUCUGUUUUCUUAAUUUUAAUUUGGGUUCCGACUAACACGAUCGUAAUCUACUUAAAUAUAUAUAUUUUUGUUUAAAUUUUAUAUUUUCGACUGACGCAGUCAGUGAUUUGGUCAACAUAUAUUUUUGACUUUUCACUUUCCGACUGAAUCGGUCACAAAUGUGAAGACGAAAAAUUCCCGCAUUAUUUUUUCACUGCUUUAGUCGGAAUAACAGUUGAUAUUAUAUUAGAAAAAUAAGAAAUAAAAUUACAAUCAUUUUCUGACUACUUCAGUCGCAAAUUUUGUCGCAUUAGCGACUGCAUAAUAUUCAGUCGCAAAUUUCGGUCAGAAAAUAGCCAUUUUCCAGUAGUGGAAAAAGGCUCCGGGAAGUUGCUGAAGAUGACAUCACUGUCACGGAGGAAGAUGCAGACGGAUUAUUGCUACCGCAAAACGACGCAUGAGUAAUUUCGUUAAAUGUAUUAGAUUUUAAAAUCAGAUGUGUUCUAGAGUUCGGCCAAUAUUAUACAAUCGAAGGUAUUGGAACAAGCCAAACUUACCGGAAGCAUCAUUCCAGCCACGAAACUCCUCGCCAGGUUCAACCUCGCAAGCGUGACAAUCCAAGGAGAGAUUUUGCUGCCCAUAAAUACCGAGGGGGUGAUGAAGAAGACCCUUUUUGAGGUUGUGUAUGGUGAUAUGGUCUACAACAUUAUCAUGGGAAGGCCGUGGUUGCACGAGAUGAAGGUUUUACCAUCGACGUAUCAUCAGUUCGUGAAGUUCCCAACUCCCAAGGGGAUUAAAUAGAUAAAAGGCAAUCAGCCGACGGCAAAGGAAAUAAAUGCGAUUUCGGUCUCCAGUAGCAAAGGGAAGGACCAUGCGGCAUAGUAAUUACAAGACUCGGCGCCUGCUCCAGAAUAAAGUGAAGACAACCAGGGGGAAAAGGCAUAGGAAUCUUAUCAGGUGCCAAGAUAUUUCAAGGUACCAGAAGAAACGGACGAAACGAAGUUCACAGCGGAAGAGCUUGAGCAAGUCGCAUUGUUCGAAAAGUUCUUGGAGAGGAAAUUCCACUUGGGGACAGGACUGCACCCUGAGAUCAGGUCUGGGUUUAUUGAAUUUCUUAAAUUUAAUGCCGAUUGUUUUGUGUGGUCGCAUGCGGAUAUGAUAGGUAUCCCGAUGGAAGUGGUCGUACACAUGCUAAGCUUGGAUCCCAGCAUCCCUCCGGUAAGACAAAAGAAAGGUCCUAUUUCCAAGGCCAGAAAUAAAUUCGUCAAAGAAGAGGUAACUCGCCUACUCGACAUCGGUUUGAUCCGAGAGGUAAAAUAUUCGGACUGGCAAGCUAACAUAGUAGUAGUUCCUAAGAAGAACAAUAAACUUCGCAUGUGCAUAAAUUAUAAAGACUUGAAUAAGGCGUGCUCAGAGGACUCGUUCCCACUUCCAAACAUCGAUAAAAUGAUUGAUGCAACGGCCGGGCACAAGUUAAUGAGUUUCCUCUAUGCUUACUCUGGGUACAACCAAAUUAAGAUGAACCAAGAGGAUCAUAAAAAACUUCGUUCAUAACGAAUUUCGGCACAUAUUGCUAUAAUGGGAUGGCAUUCGGACUAAAGAACGCUGGAGCCACUUAUCAGUGGCUCGUAAACAAGAUGUUUGAAAAAUAGAUAGGAAAAACCAUGGAAGUUUAUAUAGAUGAUAUGCUUGUUAAGUCUUUGAAUGCAGGUGAUCAUCUUAAAUACUUGCAAGAAAUUUUUGACAUCCUGAGGAUGCAUAACAUGAAGCUUAACCCCGAGAAGUGCGCGUUCGGGGUCUGCUCUGGAAAGUACCUAGGAUUUAUGGUGUCUCAAAGGGGGAUUGAGAUUAACCCCGAUAAAAUCAAAGCCAUCGAAGAUAUCCCAAACCAGAUAUUAAGUGUAAAAGAGGUUCAAAGGCUUACAGUGAGAUUGGCCGCUUUGAGCAGGUUCAUUCCCCGGUCAUCAGAGAAAUUCCACCAUUUCUUUGCGCUACUCAAAAAGAAGAACGACUUCGAAUGGACCCCGGAAUGCCAGCAGGCAUUGAGGGAUUUGAAAAGGUACUUAUCAAGCCCUCCGUUACUAACAAAGCCGGAGGAAGGUAAAAAAUUAUUAAUAUACUAUCAGUCUCGAAGGUAGCGGUAAGCACAGUUUUAGUCUGUGAGGACGAAGGUACGCAAUCUCUCAUUUAUUACAUUAGUAGAAUUUUAACCGGAGCAGAAACUCGCUAUCCACAUUUGGAGAAGUUGGCCUUCGCCCUCGUAGUCGUCGCUUAAAAGGUAAGGCCUUAUUUCCAAUGUCACCCGAUAACGGUAGUGACUACCUUUCCCCUGUGGAAUAUCCUUCAUAAACCCGAACUUUCGGGUAGGCUGGUCAAGUGGGCCGUCAAAAUGAGUGAAUUUGACAUAUAACAUAAACCUAGGACUGGGAUGAAGUCAUAAGUUUUAGCCGAAUUUGUUGACGAUUUUAGUCUAGGAUUAUUACCUCUGGCUACCAAAGAAGCAGUGAUGGUGUCAGAAUCGACAUCAGGAGUUUGGACCCCUGUAUACGGACUGAGCUUCGAACGUAAAAGGGUCCGGGCUUGGCAUAGUACUGACCAUUCUUUUGGGAGAAACCCUAAGGCAGGCCAUAAGAACGGAUACUCUGACUAACAAUGAAGCGGAGUAUGAAGCUUUGAUUGCAGGACUCGAAUUGGACCGGGGACUAGAUUCCGAGGUCAUAAAAAUCAAAUGCAAUUCCCAGCUGGUGGUGAAUCAGGUCUAUGAGAACUUCGAAGCCAAAGAGAAACGCAUGCAACAAUACAUAGCGAAGGUUCAGGAAUUGCUUGCUCGGUUCCAGGAGUGGUCGAUUACACAUAUUCCAAGGGAGGAAAAUACGAAAGGGGGCGCAUUAGAUAACCUUGGCUCAUCAACGAAAAUGAAGGGAUCGAACUCCAGUACGAUCGUAAAGCUUAUGCACUCGGUUCUGGACACAGAUAACUAUUACGAGGUAAAUAUGACUAAUUUGGUCUGGGACUGGAGGAAUGGGAUCAUUGAUUACAUCGAGCACGGAAAGUUGCCUGAAGAUCCUAAGGCAUCCCGGGCGUUGCGUGCCAAAGCAGCAUGGUAUAGCUUCAAAGAAGGUCAAUUGUACAGGAAAUCUUUCCAAGGCCCGAUGGCUCGAUACUUGAGAGCCUCCGAAGCGAACUAUGUUAUGCGAGAAGUCCACGAAGGAAUCUUUGGAAAUCAUUCAGGCACAGAUUCCUUGGUACUAAAGUUGGUAAGGGUGGUAUAUUUCUUGCCCCGAAUGGAGCAAUACGCCAAAGCUUUUAGUCCAAAAUGCAACAAGUGCCAAUGCUACGCACCAUUGGUACAUCAACCAGCAGAACUAUUACACUCGGUUUUGUUACCAUGUUCGUUCAUGAAGUAGGGAAUGGAUAUCGUCGGACCACUGCCAUUGGCUCCUAGAAAGGUAAGGUUUCUUUUGAUUUAAACUGACUAUUUUUCUAAGUGGGUUGAAGUAGGUCUUUAUCAGAAGAUCGGUGAAUGUGAAGUGGUAGAUUUCUUGUGGGAGAACAUAAUUUGCAAAUUUGGAAUACCAAAAAAGAUAGCUUGCGACAACAGGCCAUAAUUUAUAGGCGCAAAAGUCACGAAGUUCCUUGAAGACUUGAAAAUCAGAAGGAUCACAUCUUUGCCCUAUCAUCCAAGCGGAAAUGGCCAAGCGGAGUCAACAAACAAAGUUAUUAUACAAAAUAUCAAAAAGAGAUUGGAAGCAGCUAAAGGCAGAUGGCCCGAAGAACUUCCUGGAGUACUAUGGGAGUACCGAACAAUGGCCAAAUCGAUCACAAGAGAGACUCCUUUUUCCUUUGUGUACGGAGCAGAAGCCCUGAUCCCGGUGGAGGUAGGGGAACCUACCCUGAGAUACUUUCAGGCAAAUAAAGAAGCAAACAACGAAACAAUGUUGAUCAAUUUGGAACUGCUCGAUGAAUGCAGGGACUUGGCACAUAUAAGGAUGGCAGCUCAAAAGCAAAGAAUAGAAAGAUAUUACAAUGGAAGAGCCAACCUCCGUUAUUUCAAAGUAGGAGACUUGGUUUUAAGGAAAGUAACUCAAAGCACCCGGGAACUCAAAGCAGGGAAGUUAGGUCCAACUUGGGAAGGCCCCUACCAGGUUUCAGCUAUCACCGGAAAAGGAUCGUACGAGUUGGAAAAUCAAGAUGGAGAAAAGAUACCAAGCAACUAGAAUGUGGCACACCUCAAGAGAUAUUAUUGCUGAUGAACAUCACCUGUACAGAAAGUAUGUGCUGCACUCUUUAUCCACUCGCCCAGUUUUUGUGCCAAUUGCAUUUUUUUGGCAAGGUUUGUAACGAGGCAGCAACGGAAAGCAUACUACGAAGAAAAGUUUCAACAGUAACAAUAAGACCUAAUAACAAGGCACACAAGCAAAGAACCACUCCGGAGCGGUAAGAUAAUCUUUUGCUCGGUAGCAAGGUUUCCACCGUGAAGUUAAGUUUGCUAUCGGGCAAAGGUUACCCGACCGUUUACAAGUGCAAGCCACUAGGGGAUUGUUAGAUAGCCUUUGGAUUGAAAGCUUAAAUUCCUAUGGGGAAGUGAAGUUUGUUACCAGACUAAAGAUUAUCUAGCAAUUCAUUAGUGGAAUCCUCGAAGGUGCAGAACUUUCAGUGUUCAAAUUCGCAUUUUUCGCAUUCGAACACUCGGGGGGGAUAAUAUGAGAAUACGACAACAGUGACUGCUACGUCGAUAGGAAUACAAAAAUCGGAAACAUAGUUGUAUCAUCAGGACCAGGGACUGCGCGGCCAUCCCCGUAGAAACAAGUUGUACAAGUAGCCACAAGAAAUGGCAAUUUCUUUAUUAACAUAACGAAUGCUUAUGUACUUUUUGAAAAUGGAAUGAAUAAAGUAAAGUCCUUUUAUUACUAUCUUGUUUCCUGUCUGAACGAUGAAUUGAUUUUUUCAUUUGAAAGUUAAACAAGUACUUCAAAUGAUAGUGUCGUAAUGAACAAACGAUGUCCUCUUCAAGAGCACUGUAAACAUAAGAUAGCCCUCUCUUAUGAAAAUUCUCACGAUAAAGGGUUGAUUUCGGAAGAACUGGUACCCGAAAUCCAAAUGCUUUCAGGGGAAAAUACACCCAAAGCCUUGCAUAAUCAGAUGCAAAUAGUAAACUUGCGCAAAACACUUAAGCAAGAAAGAACGCAAAGAUUAAAACUUGCAUAAAUGUUCAAACAAUAGAAACGCAGAAAGACUCAUGCAAUACUUGAGCAAAAGAUAUUUUUAUUUACAAUAAAUGUGCCAAAACGGGACAAGUACAAAAUUUGGGAAAAGAAAUGAAAAGUUAAGAUGCUGCAUCUCUGGAUCCCAGAGUAAGAGAAGUAUCUGUGCUCCUAGGGGAAAUGGGUAGAUCCGCCGCUGGCUCGAUAUCUUGACCUUCAUCAUUUUGGCCUUUAACAUCUUCGCCUUCCGACUCCUCUUCAGUUCCCGGGGACUCAAAACAGGAACUAGAAGAAUUGGGGGCAUCAGGCAUGACCGGAAGACUCCUUUUAGCAGCUAACUCCAGCUCACGGGCUUUAGCGAUUUUGGCAUCAAGUCGAUGACACUUUCUUUAGACUCUUCCAAGGUUUUUCUCCUUAUGAUGUACAUAACAUAUGUUGUUUCAACAACGAGGGAAGUCGCUCGAUGCUUGAGUUCUUCUUUAAGUUGGUCAACCUUGGCAGAAAGAUUUUCCCGUGCGAAUCUAACAAACUAGAGGCUAACAUCGAGAUCACAGACAGUAGAGCUGAAAAUUUUGUUAUGCUCAAUGGUCCUCUUAUGUUUCUCAUCCAAUUGGGCAUAUUUCACCCCGACAGUAGCAAGCUCUUAAGUUUUGGAGUUCAAGGCUGCCUCCAAAUUAUUUAAUCUUUCAGUGGAGGCAGCCUCGCAAUCGGAUGCAGUAGACAGGGCAUUAUGGACUUCAGCCCAUUUAGCCCAAGCCUCUUCAAAUUGAACCCCAUUGGGGCGAUAUCCUAGCUAAUGGCCUCUACUUCAUGCUAGCGUUACUGCAAACGAACCUCCAAUAUAAUGGCCUCAGCAGUUUUGGCUUCCAGUUCUGAUAGGCGAGCAGAAGUUUGGUCCCGCUCGGCCAAAAGUUGAUCCCACUCGGAGGUAAGUUCCUGCUUUUCUCGAAUCAACCUUUGGAGGCCCUCGGAAGCAAGGAAAUUGGCAUGCGAAACAAGAAAGGCAAACUCAAAUACUACUAAAUCAAAGAUAGAAGAAAUGACAAAGGAAAUAAAGAGUAUAGCGCUGUGGAGUUGUGCAUAGAAUUGUUCAACAAGCACUCUCCUAAGAGAGCCUGUAUCUUUUCCCAAUCAUUUUCUGAAGCCAAAGGCUUCAAAUAGUUAGCAAGUUCCACUGGUCGGGACAUCAUAUUGCACCCGGUAGAGACCGAGAGAGUAACUCUCCUCCUCCUUUGCGGAUUUUCUGAGGGGGCAGCAUAAUAUUUCCCCAAAUUCCCAUGAACCGGGGACUGGGGGAGAAGAACAUCCUCUUCUCGGAUGGAUGCAGCCGGUGGAGAUGAUGUAGUAGUUGCUGGUGGGAGAGUAGGUGAAGAAGGAGAUGAAGCUGAUGGCGUUGAAGGAUUAGAAGUGGUUGCGGCAAGUGUUGUGCUAGGUGUUGGUUACUCGUCAACCAAAAACGGCAGGGACCCGGGGGCAGCCCCACAAUACCGGGUGCAGCGAGUGGGAUCUGGAAACGGGAGUUGGCAUUUUCCACCAUCUCAAAUUCUCCCUAGAACGUUGAGGCAUCGUCCUCAGUUGGUGAAACUAACUCAAAAGAUUGAGCAGUCUGUUGAGCUGAGGAAGGUCGUCGUCUUUUGUGUAGAGAAGCCCUCUCCUCGCUGGAUUCUCCAUCAUCGUCAAUCAUCACGGUAUCUAUGGUCGGUCCCGGCGGAGGGCUUGUCACCACGACUUCCGGAGAUGACUCGGGGGAGGCAUUCUUCGCCCUCUUAUUCGUUCCCCUAGCCACGGAGGAACGCCAUCUUUUUGGUUGCUUGUUCUCCGGCUGGGGACUCUGAGAAGAAGCACUCGCACCAGAAUCAGGCCUGGAGAUGCCUGUUCGAGUAAACGCCUCCUGAAGCAGUCUCGCCGCAUCAACAUGAUCAGCCAAAACGUCCUCCUCGGGGACGACAACUGAGCCCUAGGGUAGACCUGAAUUCAGCAAAGAGAGAAAGGAUUAAAUAAUUUCCUCACACAAAAAGCAAAGACGAGACGAGUCUAAGUUAUCAUGAUUUUUGGCCUGCCACCCGUAUUUAAGGGCCAGUUCUUUCCACGUGUGGGUUUCGAGCGUAGUGACGUCCAAGAUUUUCUGGACCCACUGGUCCAAGCCUUCAACCCUAGGUGGUACCCAUUGAGUUGCUGAAAUAGGCGAAAGAAGGAGGAUCAAUAAUGACAUGAGAUGAUCUCUAAUGAAAGAAAGAUUAAACAAGGAACUUACGAGUGCGGUUCCAUGAUUCCGGAAAGGAUGAAGUCAUUGCCGGAAUGAUAUAAUUUUUGGCAAUUGCAACGAACCAUUACAUCUACCCACAGUCGUUAUCAUCAUUCGUGGUAGAUAGUAGAGCAUGGUGAACACGUUUGCUGAGAUUCACCAUUCCCCCGCGGAAGAUCUUGGGGGGAAUAGAGGUUCAUCAUAUGAGCUAGGGAUAACUCCUCUCCCAUUUCUUGGCACAAGCGCCGAAGACAAGCAAUCGUCUUCCAUACGGAAGGACUUGUGCCAAACACACCUAGUAGCGGAGGCAGGACUCCAUGAUGACGGAGUCAAGCUCUCCACUUAGAGAAAGUGCCCCUAAAGUGAAGAGAUAAGUAUAGAAAUACAUAAAACGCUUCUUGGGUAAGGUUACCCACUCCGCCAGAUCAAGAGCGAUAAUGUCUAAAUCUUGGCAAAGAAAAUCUUUCUUCACAUCAGGAAUACUGGAAGAACGGAUGGAAGAAGGGUAUCUGCCAACGGCCCAUGUACGUGGGUUAGCGGAAGGAAACUUUUCUUCGCAGUCAUUAAUUGUGACGAGACUUCUGGGAAUGCUGGUACUUACUGUAGGAGGAGUAGCCUCAUCGGCUUUGCCUUUGUUCUCUGAGGAACUAAGGUUUUUAGAAAAAGAAAUCAUUCUAUGUUAGAGAAGAAGGAAAAUAUUUUCUCUUAUGAAGAAAUGAAGAACAUAGUACGAGUUGAAUGAAGAGAGUUUGAAGAAUUAUGAGGUGUGAUUGUGAAUGAAGGAGUUUGAUGCAUAUAAGUGAAGAAAUAUGCGACAAAAAUUAUGGCCAUAAUUACCUCGAUAACAGGCAAAACUAAUGCUAAAUCAUGGGAUGACGCGUGUUCGGAGAAUUAAAUAUAGAGAGACGUGCGUCUAAUCAACCGUCAGAAACUUUUUAGAGGGGGUCAGUAAAUUUUCCACCAAAAAAAAUGUCUCUACCAACUUGUCGAUGACACAAAGUUAUACCAUCAGAAAGCAGGGGGACUAUCUGUAUGGGGUAAAACAUGUUAUAUUAAAUGAUCGCAUGAGAAAGUGACACGUGGAGUCGAAGAUAGAGGAUAGCAGAAACCGAAGGCAACGAUCUCGUCUGUUACCGGAAAGAAUAAUACUCACAAAGAUGAAAAAAAUAUUUGUCACCCGGUAGCAUUUAAUUAAUGAAGAAUACUCUACAACAUUUAGUCUACUGCCCGUUACAAAAGAAUAUGGCAUUCAUGCCUGCCGUUACACACUCUUCAAUGACACUCAUAAUUGGUAUUAAAAAGGGGCUUGAUCCUAGGACCAUGUUCCCUAGGUACAACUAUAAAUAGUGAGCUCUACUAUCAUUGUAAGGGAUACGAAUUUUCUGGCAAACUUACGCUACAGUACUCUAUUCAAAGCUUAAUAUAAUCUUAUCUUCUUGCUUUUUUAUUUUAUUGUUGUUGUGCCCGGAAGCCCUGUUCCCGGAACUAUUAUUUCUGCUAUUUCGUCUCCAUCUCAAGGCUUUUCAUGAUUAAAUUAAUUCACUUGUCUAGAAACUACUUAUAAAUUUAACUGUACCGUUUUACGGAUAAACAGUUAUUGCUUCCACCACCAGAGCCACCACCACUACCACUACCACCAUGCAAUCCUCCACCAGUUCCAGUACCAGCACUUCCUAAAUACCAAUUCCCCGCCAAAUAAACCACAGCCACCGUCGCCUGAGCCACCUACACUGAGCAACCGCCUACGCAUAAACCAUGCUGAGAUACCCAUUAUAAUACUUUAAUGUGCACCAGAAAUAUUUAAGAAAAAAAGAGUACUGAAAAUUAAAGAAUAAAGAACAUUGACCAAAUAAGCAAAAUGUAGGGGUUAGCGUCGGUCGGUUCGGUCGGUUAUUAUGAAAGUACGGUUCGGUUUAUCGAUUUUCGAUUUUGUAAUCUUAAUAACCAAAUCAAACCAAAGUAUUUACAGUUCGGUGUAGUUUUUUCAAGGUUCGGUUCAGUUAUUUCCGGUUUAUCUGUUAUUAACAGUUCAAGAUUUUUAUAUCUUAGAUUUACUUUCAGCGGUCAUAAACUUCCAGUCCAGUAGUUAUUCUUUCACUGUUUUGGUCAUAAACUUUCGGUUCUUUCACUGUUGUUCCGUGUAAACUUUCAGUUCUGGUGCCAGAACAACUACAAGUUCUCUUUUCAAUUACAAGUGAUAAUAACUAGAUAAGUACAAAAAGGGUCCGACUCAUAAGAUUGAGUUUUGCUAUAUAUACAGUGGAAAAGGCUCCAACACAAAAACUGAGCAUUAUUGUGACUCAUGAACUUUACCAUCAAAGCAAAUCUAAGAUGUAUACAUAGUUCAAAUGAGAAGUCUGCAGAGACUGUUAACAAACAAUGUCCACCCUGGCCUUAGCAAUCUCCAAUUGUCCAUGUCAAAAAGCAGCUAGACCAUCUACUGAUCUAAAAUGAUAAAAAUGAAGCAAUCAAGUAAUCUCCAGAAAAUAAAAAUAAAAAUUGAUACCUUUAUUUUCAAUUAUGGAAUUCAUGGAUGCCUAAAAAGUGAACAUUGGAUAUGGAAAUAUGGAACUCAAAAGAAGGAGGUAACCAAUAACCUGAGGAAGAAAAAUGAGCGACGAGCUGAGGAAGAAGGCGUCACAGCAGUCAGCAGUCGGGCGUCGGCAACAGCAGUCGCACAGAGGUGAGAAGACUAGAGGAGGAACUCUAAUUUUUGAUUUCUAAGGAAGGGAAUAACUUAAGUCACUAAGUGAGUAAGUCUUAGGUUAGGCUUCAGAUGGGUUUUGGUAAAUUGGGUGGGUUUCAGAUGGGUAUUGGACUAUUGUGCUUCAGAUGGUUAAUAAGUUUUGGACUCUCAAAAGAAACCAUAUGUUCAAACCUAUUUUUCUCAACUAAUACCCAAAAUUUCGAUUUUUCGGUUUAACCGAAAACCGAAACACCAAAAUCGUAAACCGUACCGAAAAACCAAAAUUUAAUAAUUUAAAAACCGUGCACCGACCGAAUAACCGAUUAAACCGAAACCGAAAAACCGAAAUUCACUGUUCGGCCAGUUUUUUCGAUUCCGCCGGUAUUAUGCCCACCCUAGCAAAAUGCCCUUGAGGUGUGAGAAUUAAUGCACUUCUCCGGGCAAAUAUAUAUAGUGUUAAGUAGGCCAUUUCAUUUUCAGUAGUCGACUAACAUGAACAUUUUAAUAUUGACCAUGUGUUAGUAGGUGUCAAAUAAUUAUACAAUUAUGUGUCUAUUAUUUUAAUAUAGAUUUCUUCAACACUAAUAUAUGAAUCCGUGUGCAGUUAGUUUAUGAUUUAUAAAUAGCAAUCAAGAAUCAUCCAGAUUCCAGGUAUCAUAAUAAGAAAUAUACAUAAAAAUAUAUGCUUGCAUAGACAUAGUGGCUUCCCACGAACUAUGCAACUAACUAUUUAUAUAUUUGCCAGCAAUUUGCAUUUGUAAAUAAGAUGGUUUCGUGAAGAUUAUGAUUAAAUUCAACGAUUCAUCAUUCUUAAGAGUUCAAAAAAAACAAAUCGUAGUUAAGGGAUAAUUACACCUUGAAUGUCCUUAAGGAUGUAAAUUUCUGGGGGAGGGGUACCUGAAAAAUAUCGAGUUAGUAUAAAACUCAAUAAGUUUCAUAGCCACGCAAAUAUAAUGAUACAUUUAAGACCAUAAAUUUCAAAAGUCUUCUUAUCUUUCUUAAAUUUUGUGUCAAGUCAAAUUAUGUCACCUUAAUUAAAACGGAGAAAGUAUUAUGAUGAUGUGGUCCAUCAAUGUGUACACCAAGUUAAAACUAAUCGUCUCACCCUUAAUUAUUCUUCAAUAAUAAUGUAUUUGGAUACUUACGAAGAUAACUAUGAUCAACAUAUGCCUUUUAACACACAACAUGGAAGAUAAAGAAGUCAUCUAAAAUACCAUUUCAGCAGUAUUUUGUACUCUAAUUGCUGUACUUUAUUCGUGUUUGAGCUUAAAUAAUAAUGAUUUGCACUUAUUACAUGUUUUAUGCCUUGCAAGAUAUGAUUCCAAGUUAAGAAGAUAAUCUGAAGCUAAAUCGAAUAAUUUAUAGCUUUAAAGUCUAUGUAAAAGCUCUAGGAAUUUAACCGAGAUCGCGUUCGGGGGUCGAAUGAAGUAAUGAACAAGUCUGGAUAACUUAUAUAGCAUACAAGUUUGAGUUUAUGCCCUCUUCUCUCAAAUUAUGUUUCUUGUAGAGGUCUUUAGUUUAGUCAUCUUCGGCACUUUAUUUGUUCUUUUUUCUCUGCUUUACCAAUAAAAUAUUUUAUUUCUAUUCAUGCAUGCUUAAUUCCAUAAGAUCUUUUGUAAUGAUCCCCUUAAUUUCUUAAUGAUUCCUAAGCAAUAUAAAAUUAUCUGCCAACUAUUAGGGAAGAAAUCUCAUAUUGUUUUAUCAGUUUAUAAAACUCACAAUGGUGCGAAUAUUUCAAACUUCCUAAAACAUUCUUAAUUAAAAUGUCACUGUGAGUUGAAAGUGAAUAAAAAAGAGGCCAUUUUAACACUAUAUAUACUUGAUUAGAGAGAUGCAUUUCUCAUUCCAUUUCUUCUUAUUCUUCUUAAAUAUUCUUGGUGCAAAUUAAAGUUACAAUAUAAUGAGGUUCUCAGCUCGUUUUCUUGGAGUUGUUCUCUUAAUUGUUCUUGUCAGUGGCAUUAUGGUUUCUGCUGACAUGUUUACUAGCAGGCGCAUGCUUGGUGCUGGUGGCUCAGGUGGCGGCGGCGGCGGUUUAUUUGGCGGAGGAAUGGGUGCUGGUGCAAGUAAUGAACAUUUAGGAAGUGGUGGUACUGGAAUUGGUGGAGGAUUGCUUGGUGGUGGUGGUCAUGGCUCUGGUGGUGGAGACUAAUUAAUUAAUUUACCUUAAUUAUCUUAAUUAAUUGCAAAAGAAGUUAUGUGGAUUAUUGUUUUUGCUGUUAUAAGUGAAGUUUGUAUUUGGACAUGGUGUGCGGAACAUUAUUUGCCGUGUCUCUAUACUCGGCUACUUGUUUGGAUUUAUGGUGUAAUUAUUUUUAUGGUUUCUCGCAAAAGAACUUCAUGUUAUAUUCGUUCCUUUACAUACUGUAUCAUUUUUAUGUAUACGAUUUUUAAACAAGAUUGUUGCUUUUGCAGUUUCUAACUCUUUUGUUUUUUUGGGGUAAGUUUGUGUUUGGGGUGUUUUUUUGGAUUGACUCUUUGUUUCUUGGAUUUUGAUUCAUUAAAUUAAAGAACAACUUCUUGAUUUAUUAAAUCUUUCACAUAUUGUAUCAUUUAUAUGUAUUUUUGUGAUUCUUUCUUUUCAACCAGCUUUCAGUAUCAGUUGUAUUUACCUAUUUUAAAUGUUACUCAAUUGAUGAUGUGCAAAUCUGGAGAGGUUCAAUGUCAAACAACUUAGAUAACAGCCUUAUCCAACUUUAUAAUUAUGAAAGUGAAAUAACAGGAUAAAAACAACAGAAAGAGUAGAAAAGCAAAAGAAGAGAGAAUCUAACACACUUGAAAAGCUACAUUUUUAUUAUUAUGGUUGGAUAAUACAAUAGCCCACAAGCUUUACAUGCAAGAUGUAAAGAAACUUUAAGGAACAAAACCACUUUAAUGUAUCGGAUACAAAUACAAACUCUUGUUUAAGUAGUACUCCCAUUUUUAACAAGUUUCACAAAAGAAUAACUACAGAAGUACAUAAUAUCUUGAUCACUUUCUUAGCUUAUAUAUGCAAGAAGAUGGUACUGAUCGAUGAUCAAUGCUUACCACCACCAAUGCCUCCUCCACCACCAAAGCCACCACCACCUCCACCUCCUAAACCGCCACCUCCGCCAACGCCUCCACCAGCUCCAAACCCUCCUCCAGCACCACCACCACCACCAAUGCCACCACCUCCACCACCACCAAAGCCUCCGCCUCCACCUCCACCUAAACCACCUCCAGCACCUCCACCUGCGCCAAAACCACCACCUGCACCUCCACCUAUGCCUCCUCCUCCACCAGCUCCACCACCACCACCAAAUCCACCACCUCCACCAAGUCCUCCUCCAGCUCCACCGCCAACACCACCACCAGCUCCGCCACCUACUCCA